UCUUGAACCCCUUGACUGAGUCUGUUUUCCUUCUGUGGAGUAUACUUUCAUUUAAAAUAAAUCUCUGCUUUCCAUGCCUUGUUUGUGUGUUCUGUCCAAUUCUUCGUUCAAAACACCAAGAACCUGGACAACUACCCUCAAUUGGUAACAUAUUUUGGUGAGCCAGCCAGAAGGGAUCAAGUCUGUGAUACCUGAAGCCUCAGACCUGGAACCUGAAGUUUCCUUCAGCCACUACACCUGUGAACCUGUGGAAGACCUGAAGUGCCUGUUUAGAAGACAGCCAAAAGAUAAGUAAAUGCCUACCAACUUUCCUUGGUGUUUUUGUUGCAUAGUUAUUGUAGGUUGGAUAAUAAUAGCCAUAUUUUUAUAUAUUUGGCUGGAUAAUAAUAGCCAUAUUUUUAUAUAUUUUUGCAGUUUUUCUUUUUUCAAAUGUUUGGAAUCACUCCCUUUGUAGCAAUUAAGCAGAAUGUUUUAAUUUCUCCCUAUAACAAACAUUCCUGAUAGCAUAGGUAUCCACCCCCUGAAGUUCCCAUUAGAUCUUUUAACCAAAUUCAUUUCCUCUCACCUAGAGACCAUUGAGCUUCAUAUGAUCAUGCAACAACAUUGCCAGCCAGUUCCAAAUGAAGAUAGCACCCCCAGCGAUCAAUAAACUACCCUGCCUCCACUGGAUAGAGCAGGGAAAAAUUUCCAUGAUCAGCAAUAGGUAGGGAUUGCACCCCAAGUUAGCAUGAAGCAGCUAC
rnacentral:lncRNA from 1 species